GAGUAGCUGCUAUUUUAGUGGUUGCUUUCCAUAUUCUGGAAGCACAUAACGGAGGGAGCCGAUUUAAU
rnacentral:misc_RNA from 1 species